UACAGAGGGUGCAAGCGUUAUUCGGAAUUAUUGGGCGUAAAGAGCGCGUAGGCGGUCUUAUAAGUCUGGUGUGAAAUCCCUGGUCUCAAAUCAGGAAGUGCAUUGGAUACUGUAAGGCUAGAGUUCAGGAGAGGUAGGCGGAAUUCCAGGUGUAGAGGUGAAAUUCGUAGAUAUCUGGAGGAACAACAGUGGCGAAGGCGGCUUACUGGACUGAUACUGACGCUGAGGCGCGAAAGCGUGGGGAGCAAACAGG
rnacentral:rRNA from 1 species